rnacentral:rRNA from 1 species
AAUAAAAAAAUGGUUAAUAAAUUGUAUUAAACAAUACAAUAAAAAUUUAUUCAAAAAAUAUUGUGUUAAACUGUGAAGGAAUUUUUUUUAAAGAAAAAGUAAUUUUCUGUACCUUUAGCAUAAGGGAUUUUCAAAAAAAAAUAAAAAUUUAUUUAUUUCGAAAUUAACUGAUCUAUUAAAUAUUAAAAAUUUAUAUUUCAAAAUAAAUUUUAAGUAUUUAAUAGAAGUGAAAUUCUUAUCAAAGUUAAUGAUAUCUAAUUUUUAAAAAAAAAAUAAAAUUUUUCUUAUAAUAAUAUAUAUUUAUUAGGAUUAUAAGUAAUCAUGUAAGGGAUAAGCUUUACAUAAAAUUAUAUUUAAUUAUGUUUAAAUUUAAAAAGAAUUAAUAUUUUUCUUAUAUUGUUAUAAGUAAUUAAUAUUUUUUUUAUAAAAAAAAAUAAUUAACUUUUGUUUUUUUAAAUUUAAAAAAAAAAUAAAAAUGAAAAUAUAAGUAUAAUUAUACAUAUAUAUAUAUAUAAUUUUAUAUGUUAUUACACUUUUAAAUUAAAUUCUAGAAAUUAGGCAAACAUUUUUUUUGACUGUUUAAUAAAAACAAUGUAUUUAGAUAUUUAAUUAAAUAUAAAUCCUGCUCAAUGAAUAAUUAAAUUGCUGUAGUAUUUUGACUAUACAAAGGUAUUGUAAUAAGACUUUAAUUGAGUGCUAAAAGAAUGGACUUUCAAAAAAUUACUAUCUUGAAUUUAAAAAUCGAAUUUAUUUUUAUUUGUGAAGAAACAAUAAUUUAGAUUAAGGACAAGAAGACCCUAAGAAUUUUUAAAUUUUAUAUAAAAUCUAGAUUUUAUAUAAAAAUUUUUAAUUGGGGCGAUUAUAAAAUAUUAUUAACUUUAAAUUCAGGAAAAUGAUCCAUAAUUAAUGAUUAGAUGUAAAAAAUACUCUAGGGAUAACAGCGUAAUAAUUUUAGAUAGCUCAUAUAGAAAAAAUAGUUUGCGACCUCGAUGUUGGAUUAGGAUACUUUUUUAAUGAAGAAGUUAAAAAAAGAAGUUUGUUCAACUUUUAAAAUCCUACAUGAUCUGAGUUUAGACCGAUGUGAAUCAGGUUGGUUUCUAUCUUAAUAAAAAAAAAAAUUUUUAAUUAGUACGAAAGGAAUUUUAAAAUAUAAAAAAUUAUAUAAAUAUAACAGUUUUUGCAUCAAUUUUUGGAAUU